rnacentral:lncRNA from 1 species
AUGCAAACAAGCUCAGGGGCAGAGCCUGACCUUGAAUUCUACCUCUGUUACUGCGGAGCAGAAACUUCUGACUCUACAAAACUCUCUGACAUUUCUUCAGCUCCAGUAUAACUCAAAAGAAGAUCUAAAUUUCUUACUGAGCAUAAUGUCAAAAAUCAAUCUCUUUCCCUCUCUCCCUCCCUUCCUCCCUCUUUUUCCUCACCCAUGUCCCACUCUGUGACUACACACACCACCCCGCAGGUUCACAUACAUUCUUGUGACUCUCCUUAGGUUGGGGGACAUAGUUAUUAUC